UUAAGUUCAGCGGGUAUCCCUACCUGAUCCGAGGUCAAGAUGAUAAAAAUUACUUUUGGAUGCUAGUUUGCCAGACUUGAAGACGCAAUUCUGCUGCGCUCAAAGCCAACAUACCAGCUGCCAAUAAAUUUGAGGCGAGUUCACACACAGUGGAACAGACGCCCAACACCAAGCAGAGCUUGAAGGGUGAAAUGACGCUC
rnacentral:misc_RNA from 1 species